rnacentral:rRNA from 1 species
AAAUUGAAGAGUUUGAUCAUGGCUCAGAUUGAACGCUGGCGGCAGGCCUAACACAUGCAAGUCGAGCGGUAGCACAGAGAGCUUGCUCUCGGGUGACGAGCGGCGGACGGGUGAGUAAUGUCUGGGAAACUGCCUGAUGGAGGGGGAUAACUACUGGAAACGGUAGCUAAUACCGCAUAACGUCGCAAGACCAAAGUGGGGGACCUUCGGGCCUCAUGCCAUCAGAUGUGCCCAGAUGGGAUUAGCUAGUAGGUGGGGUAACGGCUCACCUAGGCGACGAUCCCUAGCUGGUCUGAGAGGAUGACCAGCCACACUGGAACUGAGACACGGUCCAGACUCCUACGGGAGGCAGCAGUGGGGAAUAUUGCACAAUGGGCGCAAGCCUGAUGCAGCCAUGCCGCGUGUGUGAAGAAGGCCUUCGGGUUGUAAAGCACUUUCAGCGGGGAGGAAGGCGGUGAGGUUAAUAACCUCACCGAUUGACGUUACCCGCAGAAGAAGCACCGGCUAACUCCGUGCCAGCAGCCGCGGUAAUACGGAGGGUGCAAGCGUUAAUCGGAAUUACUGGGCGUAAAGCGCACGCAGGCGGUCUGUCAAGUCGGAUGUGAAAUCCCCGGGCUCAACCUGGGAACUGCAUUCGAAACUGGCAGGCUAGAGUCUUGUAGAGGGGGGUAGAAUUCCAGGUGUAGCGGUGAAAUGCGUAGAGAUCUGGAGGAAUACCGGUGGCGAAGGCGGCCCCCUGGACAAAGACUGACGCUCAGGUGCGAAAGCGUGGGGAGCAAACAGGAUUAGAUACCCUGGUAGUCCACGCCGUAAACGAUGUCGAUUUGGAGGUUGUGCCCUUGAGGCGUGGCUUCCGGAGCUAACGCGUUAAAUCGACCGCCUGGGGAGUACGGCCGCAAGGUUAAAACUCAAAUGAAUUGACGGGGGCCCGCACAAGCGGUGGAGCAUGUGGUUUAAUUCGAUGCAACGCGAAGAACCUUACCUGGUCUUGACAUCCACAGAACUUAGCAGAGAUGCUUUGGUGCCUUCGGGAACUGUGAGACAGGUGCUGCAUGGCUGUCGUCAGCUCGUGUUGUGAAAUGUUGGGUUAAGUCCCGCAACGAGCGCAACCCUUAUCCUUUGUUGCCAGCGGUUAGGCCGGGAACUCAAAGGAGACUGCCAGUGAUAAACUGGAGGAAGGUGGGGAUGACGUCAAGUCAUCAUGGCCCUUACGACCAGGGCUACACACGUGCUACAAUGGCAUAUACAAAGAGAAGCGACCUCGCGAGAGCAAGCGGACCUCAUAAAGUAUGUCGUAGUCCGGAUUGGAGUCUGCAACUCGACUCCAUGAAGUCGGAAUCGCUAGUAAUCGUAGAUCAGAAUGCUACGGUGAAUACGUUCCCGGGCCUUGUACACACCGCCCGUCACACCAUGGGAGUGGGUUGCAAAAGAAGUAGGUAGCUUAACCUUCGGGAGGGCGCUUACCACUUUGUGAUUCAUGACUGGGGUGAAGUCGUAACAAGGUAACCGUAGGGGAACCUGCGGUUGGAUCACCUCCUUA